rnacentral:rRNA from 1 species
AGGAAAUAGCUCCUCCUUAUAGACAGUACCCGAAACCGACACUGGUGGUCAGGUAGAGUAUACCAAGGCGCUUGAGAGAACUAUGCUGAAGGAACUCGGCAAAUUGCACGCGUAACUUCGGAAGAAGCGUGACCCUUUUCUGCGCAAGCAGAGGAGGGUGGCACAGACCAGGGGGUAGCGACUGUUUAUCAAAAACACAGGGCUCUGCGAAGCCGCAAGGCGACGUAUAGGGUCUGACGCCUGCCCGGUGCUGGAAGGUUAAGAGGAGGGGUGCAAGCUCUGAAUCGAAGCCCCAGUAAACGGCGGCCGU